CGAUUUUGUUGUAAAUAAAUGAGCUUCUACUGCCAUUUUAAAUGUUGCCGUUGGAUGAAAAAGAGUGAAAACAGUUAGUGAAAAUGUAUUGUUAUAUUGAUCUGGUUAAAAAAACUGUGAUGGUGAAACAGUUGGUGCAUGUGGGAGCUUGGAAGUACAUUAAAAGCAAGGUGAUGGUUGCAAGCUUAGGAAAACAAGGAGCAAUUUCCUUUUCAACCUUUAAGCAAAGGCUAAUAUAUCAUGUAGUGAUAUAGGACUUUUAUAUGGACUUUGCAUAAAUAUUCAAAUGUAACAAAAGCUUUGAGCUUAUUUUAAUCAAUUUUGAUCUAAUGUUUUCAAUUCAAAUUGUAUGCAAAUGUUAAUGAAUGCAAGCUAUUUUUAUAGUCAAA